ensembl:lncRNA
AUUUAAUAUUUACAUAAUUGCCACAUAUAUAAUACAUAAUAUGUGUAUAUAUUACAUAUAUUCUUCGUGUUUAUUUCAAUGAAGUACUAUUUUCCACAAUAUAAAUGAUACUAAAAUGUUAAAAAACAGGGUCAAAGUCCUAGGGAUGUAUAAUGGGGAAGAUGAGAAUGUAACAAUCAUAAAUGUUCAUCUAUUAUUUUCGCCAUAUCAUUGUAUUUUAAAAGUAGUUUGUAAACAUUCUGCUUUUAUGCAUACAUAUAUUUUAUUACUUGUGUGUUCAAUGUAUCAAAUGUCUGAAAUAUCACACUUUCUCUCACAGUGAACAUGAACUGAUAUAAUGUCCAUAGUCAUAAGUUCUUUGAGUGCAGAUUAAUUUCUAAAAUUUUAUGGAUAUCCUGACAUCACAAUGUUAAAGAAUUGCUGAUUUAUUGGCCUCUGAGAUGGGUUCAGAGGAUACCAGGACAAGGGUGGCAACAAUCAGGGUAACUUGUCCACGGACGCUGCUUCCAGUAUCCCAGUCCCCAGCAAUGGAUCUGAGCUGGGGAGGCAGGGCUAGGAGUUCAUCUUUCCAUGACCAAGCCCAGUGGGUCAGCAUCACUACCAAUGGGAAUUCUUAGAGAACCAAUCAGCCUCCUUCAAAUAAAGAUUUAUUAUAUACUGACUAGCAGAAGUUCAGUCUCCACUCUUCAAGCACAAUGAAGACCCUUGUCCCUGAGGCUCUCCUCCUGAUGGUCCCGAUAGUGAUGUCUCUGAAUCAGCAUCCAAAGGUCAAGUGUAUGUGUCAGGAAAGAAAGGACCUCACCUGGGAGAGCAAAAGGAAUGCAUCUCUCCUGGGGCAGCAUUAGGGAAACCUGGUCUCCACCUUAGCCCAGUUGUCAUCUUAAGCUCUGUUCCCAUUCUGUACUCUGAGCCUUUCCCUGAUCGACUCCAAAUCCAACCACAUCCCAUACCUUCUUGAGAUCCUGGGUUCAAUUUCACCUUGGGCUUCAUGUAGAUUCAGACUCUCUGCUCUAUUUUGAAAUCCUCCUGACCUAGCUUGAUCUCUGUUACUUCAGUUCAUCUUGGCUGGUUAUGUGGAUGGCAAACAGUGUUGGAGAAAACAGUGGAAAAGAGAGUCCAGAUUGGAUCCAUACAUGGCAUUGUUAGAGGAGCAGGAGACAGAGUGUUGGGAGAGGCAGUCAGAGAGUCCUGAGAUUCAAAAAGCACUUCACAGAAGAACUGAAGUGCUCCACCUCUAUAGCCAUAAAUGCAACUGGUGAACUGCAGUGCUGACAUCCGCUCCUUCUUAAUAAAGUUACGAAUUACAGUAAAAAAAAAAAAGAAUACUGAUUAUCCACUGGACCUGAGUUCAUUUUCCACCAUCCCAUCAAAGGGUCACAUGGAACCUCCUGUUGUUCCAGCUCCAUGGAAUUAGAUGCCCUCUUCUGGAUUCUACAGGUAUUGCCAAUCCAUUGGAAUCUAACACACACACACACACACACACACACACACACACACACACACACACACACACACACACAGAG